rnacentral:rRNA from 1 species
CGGGUGAGUAACACGUGAGUGACCUGCCUUUUAGACUGGAACAACUUACCGAAAGGUGAGCUAAUGCCGGAUGAGUUAUAUAAGUGCAUGUUUAUAUAGGAAAAGUUGGGGAGACCUGACGCUGAAAGAUGGACUCGCGUCCCAUUAGCUAGUUGGUAGGGUAAUGGCCUACCAAGGCGACGAUGGGUAGCCGGCCUGAGAGGGAGGCCGGCCACACUGGGACUGAGACACGGCCCAGACUCCUACGGAAGGCAGCAG